rnacentral:lncRNA from 1 species
CCUCCCCAUACCUAAAUCAUGCAUUGUCCUCAAUGUAUGCAAAAGAGAGAAUUGAAAUGAGAGAGUAAAGAGGAAAAAUACCUGAAUAGGAGAUGAAGGGAUUUUUAUUAACUACUCCUAAAGUUCGAGUGAGGGAAAGACAACUUAGCUAAAAGAAUCUCUAUUUUUGGAAUUUUCUAAUUUUUCAAUUUUUAGGUUUUUUCAUUUUUUUAAGAGUUACACUAAAGCCCUCCCCAUACCUAAAUCAUGCAUUGUCCUCAAUGUAUGCAAAAGAGAGAAUUGAAAUGAGAGAGUAAAGAGGAAAAAUACCUGAAUAGGAGAUGAAGGGAUUUUUAUUAACGAACGAAACACUAACACAACUCACACACUCACACAUUUCCUUCCCCAUACCUGAACUUCACGAGGGAAGGUUCUAAGAAGGAACCACGUCAGCCAAUGCCGGAAGGAAAUAUGGGAGGAAGCUUCGAGAAAGAAUCAAAAUGUUUUCGAAAAUUUUUAUGCACAAAGACUUUCUCAAGCAUGUGACAAUCGUUGAACCCUAUAGGACAAGUAUCACUAAUGUUCUCCCUAAACCAACUUAAUGCUUCUUUAUUAUCAAGCAAUUUAGAGACUAUGAAAUCUUGGUUCAGGGACAAAUCACUAGGAACAAUGUACGAAAUGACGUCAUCCUU